GGCUUAUCGAAUUUUAGCAUCUAGUAGCAAAUUAUUUAUGAGAUGGUGGGGGUAUGCUUUGGUUGUGGCCUUAUUGACCAUAAACUUAACGAUUGCCCUCAUCCUAAGGGGCAACCAGAAGGCAACCAUACUAGAUAAUAUCACGGUGGAAUUGAAGACUUUGGGCUCAAUAAUAGCAUCAUCCUCCUCUACAAUGCUUGCCACUUGUGCCGACUAGUCUCAUCCCAUCUAUAGACAACGGCCAGGGACUCUCCAAGUUUUAUAGUGAAGAACCAAGACAAAACUAACUUGGUCUUCUGAUUGGACUUAGGCCAGAGGCAAGGCAUCAAACCCCAUUAUCCGCACGAUUCAUAUGGUGGUUCAGGUUGGUGUUGUGCCAUCAUCCAAUGAGAGCUAUAGACCAUCAAACCAUAUGUUAAAACCAUCAAGUCACAUACUUGAGCCUUGCUUUCAAAGGUAGGGCAAGUGGCAUCAGGGCCUGUGACAUGGCUCAAUGGAUUGAAAUUCUUGAGCUUACCUAUUGAUUAGGACAAACUUUUUACAUGCUACUCUAC
rnacentral:lncRNA from 1 species